GCCAUUUUGUCCAGUGAGGAAAAGCGGAGUUGGGGUUUCUCUGAGGGUCGAGUCGGCUGAGUUUAGCGCGAACUCGCUUCGCGUGCCCUCCCUCUGAGCACCGCAAUGCAUCGUGACUCUUGUCCGCUGGACUGCAAGGUCUAUGUGGGUAACCUUGGAAACAAUGGCAACAAAACUGAAUUAGAGCGAGCUUUUGGCUACUAUGGACCACUGCGCAGUGUAUGGGUGGCAAGAAAUCCUCCUGGUUUUGCCUUUGUGGAAUUUGAAGAUCCCCGAGAUGCAGCUGAUGCAGUUAGAGAACUAGAUGGAAGAACCCUGUGCGGCUGUCGAGUCCGAGUGGAGCUCUCCAACGGGGAGAAGCGCAGUCGGAACCGCGGCCCCCCUCCGUCGUGGGGCCGGCGCCCUCGGGAUGACUAUCGCAGGAGGAGUCCCCCUCCUCGCCGCAGAUCACCACGAAGGAGAAGCUUUUCCCGGAGCCGCAGCAGGUCCCUCUCCAGAGACAGAAGAAGAGAGAGAUCACUCUCACGGGAAAGGAACCACAAGCCUUCUCGCUCCUUUUCCAGGUCUCGCAGUCGCUCCAGGUCAAAUGAGAGGAAAUAGGACUGUGGGAAGGAGCUGUGUACAGGAAGUCAUGAGAUCCGAAGCCAGGAGUAUGUACAGAACAUUGUUUUGUUUCGAAACUUCAUAAAGCUUGGUGCAUUUUUAAAAUGUUUUAGCCGUUGAACUUGCUUUGUUCCUUGUAUCUUGUAACAGGUGGCAAAUGUAAAGAUGUGAAUCUGUAUAUGGUUCUGAGCAGAUCCUAUGAUUUGUAAUAUUAAUGGUUUUCCAAUGUACCAUUAGACAUGGAGUGUGUGUGUGGAAUGGCAAACGGUCUGUGUGAUGUGGCUGGGAGAGCAUGGCUGGGGUGGGGGUUGCUGGGGCUCAGCUGGAGGAAUGUGUGUUCCUUGUGGAAUCAGGCCAGGAGCAGAGCAGCACAUGGGUGCUCCACAGCCCAUCUGGGAAGGAGAGUAGUGAGCCAGUAGCACAGGGGAAGGGGAGGGAAAGGGUUGCGGGCUGCAGCUUCAUCCAGGUCCAGUUGACUGAGCUGCUUUAUAUUCCAUGAAAAAAAACUUAGCUAUAGGGUCAGUUAAUUUUGUACUUGAUAUAAGUAGAGUCCUUAAUUAGAUAACUGUUGGUUGACCAUGUAUUCCAGAAGCUCUGAAAAGACCAAAUCCACAGCAGAACUGACACCUGGAGUGGAUGUGUUGUGUCUAAUGGUACAUUGUAAACAUUAGUUAUUAAACAUUUCUUUACUGUACAAGAAUUUUCAUGUCACUUGUAAAAUGUCUUUUGUGAGAUCCUUGGGAUUAAAGUUUUGGUUACAA